UACGGAGGGAGCUAGCGUUGUUCGGAAUUACUGGGCGUAAAGCGCACGUAGGCGGCUACUCAAGUCGGGGGUGAAAGCCCGGGGCUCAACCCCGGAACUGCCCUCGAAACUAGGUAGCUAGAAUCUUGGAGAGGUCAGUGGAAUUCCGAGUGUAGAGGUGAAAUUCGUAGAUAUUCGGAAGAACACCAGUGGCGAAGGCGACUGACUGGACAAGUAUUGACGCUGAGGUGCGAAAGCGUGGGGAGCAAACAGGAUUAGAAACCCGCGUAGUCC
rnacentral:rRNA from 1 species